rnacentral:rRNA from 1 species
AACGAACGCUGGCGGCAGGCUUAACACAUGCAAGUCGAACGCAUCCUUCGGGGUGAGUGGCAGACGGGUGAGUAACGCGUGGGAACGUGCCCUUCAGUUCGGGAUAACCCAGGGAAACUUGGGCUAAUACCGGAUACGUGCGAGAGCAGAAGGAUUUAUCGCUGAAGGAUCGGCCCGCGUCUGAUUAGCUAGUUGGUGGGGUAAUGGCCCACCACGGCGACGAUCAGUAGCUGGUCUGAGAGGAUGAUCAGCCACAUUGGGACUGAGACACGGCCCAAACUCCUACGGGAGGCAGCAGUGGGGAAUAUUGGACAAUGGGCGCAAGCCUGAUCCAGCCAUGCCGCGUGAGUGAUGAAGGCCUUAGGGUUGUAAAGCUCUUUCGUCCGGGACGAUAAUGACGGUACCGGAAGAAGAAGCCCCGGCUAACUUCGUGCCAGCAGCCGCCGUAAAAC